UACGUAGGGAGCAAGCGUUGUCCGGAAUUAUUGGGCGUAAAGAGCGUGUAGGCGGUCCGGUAAGUCGGCUGUGAAAGUCCAGGGCUCAACCCUGGGAUGCCGGUCGAUACUGCCGGACUAGAGUUCGGAAGAGGCGAGUGGAAUUCCCGGUGUAGCGGUGAAAUGCGCAGAUAUCGGGAGGAACACCUAUGGCGAAGGCAGCUCGCUGGGACGUUACUGACGCUGAGACGCGAAAGCGUGGGGAGCAAACAGG
rnacentral:rRNA from 1 species